UUCUGUUGUGUGUAUAUGCUCUGUCUCUUGUUGUCAUGUUUAGCCUGCCUUAUUAGUCGGGUCACCCUGUUUCCCUGGAUUUUGGAUUUCUGUUGGAUCACCUUGUUUUUGGACUCUGUUUGUCAGCCACUCAAAUAGUGUACCCGGCCUUUCGCCGGGUAGAAGCGGUAGAAGAUGGAUGGAUGGAUGGAUGGCACGGGAAAUGAGAAUCGACAGUGCAGUACUAUAUAUACGUCGGCAAUGUUGAGGGAACUCUGCACUCUAUAUUUGUAAUGCCCCAAAGUUGCCCUGUUUCUCAGUUUGAACCAGGCACUGAAAAAAAAACACACUUCUGCUCUAAUCAGCCUUGACUCACUUGAAGGGAUUACAGCUACGCCUUUUUAUUCCUGAAAGGAUUCAGCAUCAGAAUACUGUCAGCCUGCUGGACUCUAUUGAUGUCAAUAUGGUCGAGACAGGUGGGUGUGGGAGAGACAGAGUCAAACACAGAGAUGAGUCAGACAGAAACACCAAGAAACAGGCGUUUAUUUGAGAAAAUACUAAUAUAUUAAUUUGUUCCUCAAAAUGCACAGGUUAAAUUUGUCACAAUAGGGAUGUACUGUGUUGUGUAUCUACAAGAGACACUUAUGUAUAGGUACCAAAUUCAGCUCUUGAUUCAUACUGAAAAAAUUAAAGCCAGCAUUGAGGCGGCUGGGAAUGUG